rnacentral:lncRNA from 1 species
CUUCAGCAUAGCAACAGCAGCGUAGCUGAACAUCUUACGGAUGGCCCAGGGCUCCAAAGGCUCGUUUCCUAAGUGAGAGAGAGCCUGGCUGAAGCUGUAUUACCAUUCAUUCUCCAGCCUCCGAAGUCUCAAAGCAUCACUUCCACCAUACUCUAACUGUCAAGACAAACACAAAGGCCCAGAAACUGCCAGACUGUCUUCUGAAGUGGCUAUAAUAUUUACACUCCCAUCAGCAGUGUAGAAGGGGUCUCACUAUGUUGUCUGGAGUGCUGUGGUGGAGUGGAGUGGCUAUUCACAGCUGAGUUUGCAGAGUAAACCACUACCCUGAAAUCUGGAAAGGCAGGUGCACCCACAGAUCCUCAGCUGAGAUCCAAUUACCUGAAAUAGAAGCUGCCAUUAGGAACACUUAAAAGAGCCUGUUCUGCUGGGACACAGAAUCACUUGCUCCAUCUCAUACAUUGAUGAUGAUUAAUUUGUAUGUGUACCUUCCAAAAAAGAUGGUUGUGUUUGAAUGGAGGCCUUCUGGACAGGAAAAUUGCAAAGUACAAUUAACAUUUGAGUCUGUCUGAGUCAUGAAGAAAUGGAGAUUACUGAAAAUAAUUCAUUUUGGUAUCUUCUUACAUCCUGAGAGACUAAUCUUUCCAAGUUCAUCUGAGGCUCCUCUUCUCCAUGACAACCUCAUCCAGGGAUUUCUUCCUGUCCUGGUGUUUUAUGACAUGUGGAAGGGGACUGUAGCAGGUGAUCUCCAAAGUCUCUGGAGACUUACUAAUGUGCAUCCUCAUCUCGCUUGUAAGGAUAAUAGCCUUCCUCCAAACCUCACACACUUUUGGAGGAGAUCACUUUUUUUAAAGUGCAUGGAAAUGUUUUGAAACAGUGAAAUCUAUAAUGAUAGGUUUCAUAAUUCUAACAUCCACACCAUAUGAAUCACAUCCUUCCUGAGAUAAUGAGCACACAAUUGCCUGGAUACCUGAAGGAAUGGAGACAGCGGCAGAAAACACUGCAGAGAGGUGGAAACAUCCGUUAAUAUUUUAAAAUCCCAUUACUGCUACCAACAAUAAUAAUGGAUGCAUAGAAAUAGAUCUGGAUUAGCUGAGCUUGAAACAGUCCAUCUCACACACACACAAAAGAAUUUCAGAUACAGUGAACCCACAUGUUGAAGCUUUCUAGUAUAAUAAAAAUUUCAACUGUUCUGUUGAAUCAUCUGCCUGAUUGGAGGCUACAGAAAAGAUGUCAUCUUAGGAGUGCUUGCUCUGAGUGAGGCUCAUCUUCAAAUCUGAAUGACCACAAGGAGAUUUGAUUAUACAUGUGAACACCUCAGAAGGCACAGCCCACCCAGAAGGCAGACAGAAGAAGCUGCCAGGAAGACUGUGAAAUCUUCAUGCCCAAGGAUCCCUAAAAUUAGGAGCAACAACCACUUGGCUCAGACGGUUUAUGGAGGCAAAGGUUUGGAUGGGAUUAGAGAUUUCUAAAUGUGAGUUCGUGUCCUCUGCCAGACCACCUUACUUCCACCAUUCCUCAGCAAAUCAAGAAAAACAGGAGAAAAGACAUGCCUUUCCAUAAGUUAAAUCUAUUCUGUUUUAAUUCUAUAUUAUAUCUGCUGUACAACUUCUUUUGUUUGUAACACCAUAUUGUUGCUAGUAACUGGAAAUUAAUUUUCACAUGCCUCAGCUUAGAAAAAUAAAAAGCAGCCCUGCAUCAAUCCCAA